AUAGUUCACUAGGGGUGCCGUAUUUGUGGCUGAGAUCAACGUGUGACGUUGGGACUCUUUGAACCUGAUCUGGCGUUAUAAACCAGCGGAGGGAAGUGGCAGAAACUUUGA
rnacentral:ncRNA from 1 species